rnacentral:rRNA from 1 species
CUAACGUCCGUCGUGAAGAGGGAAACAACCCAGACCGCCAGCUAAGGUCCCAAAGUCAUGGUUAAGUGGGAAACGAUGUGGGAAGGCCCAGACAGCCAGGAUGUUGGCUUAGAAGCAGCCAUCAUUUAAAGAAAGCGUAAUAGCUCACUGGUCGAGUCGGCCUGCGCGGAAGAUGUAACGGGGCUAAACCAUGCACCGAAGCUGCGGCAGCGACACUAUGUGUUGUUGGGUAGGGGAGCGUUCUGUAAGCCUGUGAAGGUGUGCUGUGAGGCAUGCUGGAGGUAUCAGAAGUGCGAAUGCUGACAUAAGUAACGAUAAAGCGGGUGAAAAGCCCGCUCGCCGGAAGACCAAGGGUUCCUGUCCAACGUUAAUCGGGGCAGGGUGAGUCGACCCCUAAGGCGAGGCCGAAAGGCGUAGUCGAUGGGAAACAGGUUAAUAUUCCUGUACUUGGUGUUACUGCGAAGGGGGGACGGAGAAGGCUAUGUUGGCCGGGCGACGGUUGUCCCGGUUUAAGCGUGUAGGCUGAUUUUCCAGGCAAAUCCGGAAAAUCAAGGCUGAGGCGUGAUGACGAGGCACUACGGUGCUGAAGCAACAAAUGCCCUGCUUCCAGGAAAAGCCUCUAAGCAUCAGGUAACAUCAAAUCGUACCCCAAACCGACACAGGUGGUCAGGUAGAGAAUACCAAGGCGCUUGAGAGAACUCGGGUGAAGGAACUAGGCAAAAUGGUGCCGUAACUUCGGGAGAAGGCACGCUGAUAUGUAGGUGAAGCGACUUGCUCGUGGAGCUGAAAUCAGUCGAAGAUACCAGCUGGCUGCAACUGUUUAUUAAAAACACAGCACUGUGCAAACACGAAAGUGGACGUAUACGGUGUGACGCCUGCCCGGUGCCGGAAGGUUAAUUGAUGGGGUUAGCGGUAACGCGAAGCUCUUGAUCGAAGCCCCGGUAAACGGCGGCCGUAACUAUAACGGUCCUAAGGUAGCGAAAUUCCUUGUCGGGUAAGUUCCGACCUGCACGAAUGGCGUAAUGAUGGCCAGGCUGUCUCCACCCGAGACUCAGUGAAAUUGAACUCGCUGUGAAGAUGCAGUGUACCCGCGGCAAGACGGAAAGACCCCGUGAACCUUUACUAUAGCUUGACACUGAACAUUGAGCCUUGAUGUGUAGGAUAGGUGGGAGGCUUUGAAGUGUGGACGCCAGUCUGCAUGGAGCCGACCUUGAAAUACCACCCUUUAAUGUUUGAUGUUCUAACGUUGGCCCGUUAUCCGGGUUGCGGACAGUGUCUGGUGGGUAGUUUGACUGGGGCGGUCUCCUCCUAAAGAGUAACGGAGGAGCACGAAGGUUGGCUAAUCCUGGUCGGACAUCAGGAGGUUAGUGCAAUGGCAUAAGCCAGCUUGACUGCGAGCGUGACGGCGCGAGCAGGUGCGAAAGCAGGUCAUAGUGAUCCGGUGGUUCUGAAUGGAAGGGCCAUCGCUCAACGGAUAAAAGGUACUCCGGGGAUAACAGGCUGAUACCGCCCAAGAGUUCAUAUCGACGGCGGUGUUUGGCACCUCGAUGUCGGCUCAUCACAUCCUGGGGCUGAAGUAGGUCCCAAGGGUAUGGCUGUUCGCCAUUUAAAGUGGUACGCGAGCUGGGUUUAGAACGUCGUGAGACAGUUCGGUCCCUAUCUGCCGUGGGCGCUGGAGAACUGAGGGGGGCUGCUCCUAGUACGAGAGGACCGGAGUGGACGCAUCACUGGUGUUCGGGUUGUCAUGCCAAUGGCACUGCCCGGUAGCUAAAUGCGGAAGAGAUAAGUGCUGAAAGCAUCUAAGCACGAAACUUGCCCCGAGAUGAGUUCUCCCUGACUCCUUGAGAGUCCUGAAGGAACGUUGAAGACGACGACGUUGAUAGGCCGGGUGUGUAAGCGCAGCGAUGCGUUGAGCUAACCGGUACUAAUGAACCGUGAGGCUUAACCUUACAACGCCGAAG